rnacentral:misc_RNA from 1 species
UCCCACAGCUCCUGGCGACCCAGCUGUCCUCGCGAGUCCAGGAGAAGGAGGCUGGAGACUCACUCUGUGUGGGCAUGUGUGGGCACUGACGAGGAGGCA